rnacentral:lncRNA from 1 species
UUGUCUUGAUACAUGUCCUGAAAUUUAAAGAAAUAUUUAUUGUUGUAUUUUUGUAGAAUUCAUGUAGUAAAGGAGAGAACUCUAUAGACUGAUGGCCUCUGCUGUAUGAAUCGGCAUUGCUCCAUUGAUUUUAUACCAGCGGAUAAUCUGACCCUAUGCUCACAAAAGAGAAAGGCAACUGUACUGGCAGUUCAAGAGGGACUUGUGGAUUGCACCUUUUCAAGACUCUGAUAGAAAAUAACCUGGACUAUGUACUGGCCUCAUUCCAGACUCUGCUAUUAGGUUCGUACUCAAUUUAAUGUUUUGGGUAUUAGCCAUUGUAAUUAAUCAUCUUGUAACUGUACAGAGA